ACCUUUCAAAUCAGGGUGCGGCGCGGCCCCCGAGGAGCGAAACAAUCCUUGGGAGGUAUGCGGGGGCUUCGAGCCCCCCAUUUACGCACGCACGACUGCCAUCCUUACUUUACGAGCACCUUCUGUUCUCCCUCGGCGGGGCAACCUGCCGUUGGAACCGAAUAAACUCUUUUUGCAUCUAGCAUUACCUGUUCCGAAACAAACAAUCGUUA
rnacentral:misc_RNA from 1 species